rnacentral:rRNA from 1 species
AUUGAACGCUGGCGGCAGGCCUAACACAUGCAAGUCGAACGAGUGGCGGACGGGUGAGUAAUGUCUGGGAAACUGCCUGAUGGAGGGGGAUAACUACUGGAAACGGUAGCUAAUACCGCAUACCAUCAGAUGUGCCCCAAUGGGAUUAGCUAGUGGGUGGGGUAACGGCUCACCAAGGCGACGAUCCCUAGCUGGUCUGAGGGGAUGACCAGCCACACUGGAACUGUGCCAAGGUCCAGAGUCCUACGGAAGGCAGCAGUGGGGAAUAUUGCACAAUGGGCGAAAGCCUGAUGCAGCCAUGCCGCGUGUAUGAAGAAGGCCUUGGGGUUGUAAAGUACUUUCAGCGGGGAGGCGUUACCCGCAGAAGAAGAACCGGCUAACUCCGUGCCAGCAGCCGCGGUAAUUC